CCCUGACUGAGCCCCACCCUAGUUCUUCAGGCCAAGAAGACUGAGAGAAAGAAAAAACCUGGGGAUUUCACUUUGUCCUCCAGAUGCUUCUCGUCUGGGAACUUAUGGGAGUUCUCAAGGCCAUGUAUCCUGUUUCUUUGAAUAGAAUUGCAGCCUGACUAAGGUAAGAAUUAGUUUCCUUUUUAUCUUUUAUAUUCUU